GGGUGUUUACGCUGCAUACCGCAGCGGACAGGUAACGCGUCGGUCGGGCCGCCACG
rnacentral:ncRNA from 19 species